AUUGAACGCUGGCGGCAUGCCUUACACAUGCAAGUCGAACGGCAGCACGGGGCAACCUGGUGGCGAGUGGCGAACGGGUGAGUAAUGCAUCGGAACGUACCCGGAAGUGGGGGAUAACGUAGCGAAAGUUACGCUAAUACCGCAUAUUCUGUGCGCAGGAAAGAGGGGGGUCUUCGGACCUCUUGCUUUCGGAGCGGCCGACGUCAGAUUAGCUAGUUGGUGAGGUAAAGCUCACCAGGGCGACGAUCUGUAGCGGGUCUGAGAGGAUGAUCCGCCACACUGGAACUGAGACACGGUCCAGACUCCUACGGGAGGCAGCAGUGGGGAAUUUUGGACAAUGGGCGCAAGCCUGAUCCAGCCAUGCCGCGUGAGUGAAGAAGGCCUUCGGGUUGUAAAGCUCUUUCGGCCGGGAAGAAAUCGCAUGGAUUAAUACUCUGUGCGGAUGACGGUACCGGCAUAAGAAGCACCGGCUAACUACGUGCCAGCAGCCGCAGUAAAAC
rnacentral:rRNA from 1 species